GGCUGCGGCUGCAGGUGUCUGUCAAUGAUAGCACACCUGCAGGCCUUCAAUCACCGGUCGCCCCAUUGGUUUGUACCAUUCAAGCCAUUAUUUUCAGAGAUAUCGCCUGCUGCCCUCCCUGUAGUGACAGGCGGUUAUAUCCUGGAGUCAGCCAUCAAAAGACCCUGACAUCAUCCCACACCUGAAGGGAUAAUGAUGUGGAAGAAGCUCGAGCGACAAGCUGAAAGGUCUCGAGGUCGAGGGCUGCACAGGAGUCCUGCAUGAUGAACACCAAGCAGCUGAGAAACGGAGGCGAGUGCUGUCUGGAAAGGUGGAGCAGUGAACACCUCCCGUGUGUGUUCCUCCACUGAAGCUAAUGAAUUGGAAGUAAUUUAAUGGAGCAGUGCACAGCGCGGACGGGAACAGUUGCAGCAAUUUGAACACGACGAGCGAGAGGAGAGUUGAACGUGCCGCAUGUGAACGCAUUUACCUCCUCGUGACCGCACCGCACCGCACCGCACCGUCAGCUCCACUGCAGGAAAACCAAGCUUCACGCUAAACUCUGCGCUGUUUUCCUUGUUAGUCACAUCCACCGUGUCCGAAUACAUUUGGACAAGGACAACAAGCCGGAUGUCUUGAAUCAGCUUCGGUGUCCCUCGUGGCUCAAAUGAAGACACGGAAACACCUUUUUGCCGCAAAUGAAAUGAGAGCGAAACCACGGCCGAGUGCUUUGUCAUGCAGUAUAGUUUUAUUACAAAAAGGUUUUUAUACAAAUUUAACUGCACAAUGGCAAUGAACACUUAUCGUAUGGAACGCUCCACCUUUGGCCCUCUGCGUCAUCCGUAACAGGAAGUGACUCGGCCAAAUAAACAGAAGGUUCAUGUCUUUGGAUUCAAGACGUUUUGUCUGAUCAAAAGGGAGCGAGCAGUUUGAUCGUCUGCAGUUCCUGGCUGUCCAGUAGCCUGUAGCUGAAAGACACUCGGCUGACGAACUUCCCGCUGGACACCAUCCUCACCACCGUGUUGUCGCAGCCGAUCUUCAUGUGAGCUGCGGGGGAAAAGAGACGAAACACGUUGAGUGUGAGGUCAGAGCGGCGGCGACCGAUGAUGUGGAGGGAGGGCGAGCACUCACUGGGUCCAGUGAAGGAGACGCAGAGGUCGGUGAUGGGCAGCAGCUUCGAAGUGUCGAUGCCGUUUCCACCCAGCAGCUGCACAAAAUCUCCUGAUUCUGCACAGCCGGGCAGGGACCUCUGUGGACAUCAACAUGUGGUAAACACUGUCCAUCAGUGUGUCUCAGUGGACAGCACAAGACAGAGUUAAUGUGUCCCAAACUGUACAGCUUCUUGCAAUGGAUUCCUGAAAUGAUCUCUAACAUUAAGCCUGCACUAGCUGAUUUUCUGGCCACUUGGGGGCAGCAGAAAUGAGCUUUUAAGUUGAUUUGGUGAACUUGUUGCAGUUACGCAGCAACAUUAUCGUUCAUUUGGAUUUCGUGUUAAAACCAUCUGCCAGAACAGCUCAUUUCAUAGCCGUCCAUGUGACAGCAACAGCAGAUAUUUUGAAGGACGUGUUGAACGGUUUUAAAGCCGUGUUUGUAGUAAUUAAAGCGAAUACA